rnacentral:piRNA from 1 species
AAGACACACUGGAGCUGCAGAAA